UAAUACGGAGGGGGCAAGCGUUGUUCGGAAUUAUUGGGCGUAAAGGGCGCGUAGGCGGGUAGGUAAGUCUGGUGUGAAAACUCGCCGCUCAACGGGAAGAGUGCACCAGAAACUGCCCAUCUUGAGUGCGAGAGAGGUGAGUGGAAUUCCUGGUGUAGCGGUGGAAUGCGUAGAUAUCAGGAAGAACACCGGUGGCGAAGGCGGCUCACUGGCUCGCUACUGACGCUGAGGCGCGAAAGCCAGGGGAGCGAACGGGAUUAGAUACCCCGGUAGUCCUGGCCGUAAACGGUGGACACUAGGUGUGGGAGGUAUCGACCCCUUCCGUGCCGUAGCAAACGCAUUAAGUGUCCCGCCUGGGGAGUACGAUCGCAAGGUUG
rnacentral:rRNA from 1 species